AUACUUACCUAGCAGGGGAGAUACCGGUGAUCACGAAGGUGGUUUUCCCAGGGCGAGGCUCAUUCAUUGCACUCCAGGUGUGUUGACCCCUGCGAUUUCCCCAAAUGUGGGAACCUCGACUGCAUAAUUUGUGGUAGUGGGGGACUGUGUUCGCACUCUCCCCUG
rnacentral:snRNA from 1 species